ACGGGGUGCAGCAGGCGCGAAAACUUCACACUGGAGGCAACUCCGAUGAGGGAAUUCCUAGUGCUAGCACAUUAGUGUUAGCUUUUCUUAAGCGUAGAUAACUUAAGGAAUAAGGGCUGGGUAAGACGGGUGCCAGCCGCCGCGGUAAUACCCGCAGCCCAAGUGGUGGUCGGUUUUAUUGAGUCUAAAACGUUCGUAGCCGGUUUGGUAAAUCCUUGGGUAAAUCGAGAGGCUUAACCUUUCGAAUUCCGAGGAGACUGUCAAACUUGGGACCGGGAGAGGCGAGAGGUACUUCUGGGGUAGGGGUAAAAUCCUGUAAUCCUAGAAGGACCACCGGUGGCGAAGGCGUCUCGCUAGAACGGAUCCGACGGUGAGGGACCAAGCCCUGGGUUCGCAAACGGGAUUAAGAUACCCCGGUUAGUCCAGGGUGUAAACCCUGCGGACUUGGUGUUGGGAUGGCCUUCGAGCCUGUUUCAGUGCCGAAGGGAAGCUGUUAAGUUCACCCGCCUGGGGAAGUACGGUCGCCAGGACUGAAAACUUUAAAGGGAAUUGGGCCGGGGAGCAC
rnacentral:rRNA from 1 species